UACGUAGGGAGCAAGCGUUGUCCGGAAUUAUUGGGCGUAAAGCGCGUGUAGGCGGUUCGAUAAGUCGGUUGUGAAAGUCCAGGGCUCAACCCUGGGAUGCCGACCGAUACUGUCGGACUAGAGUCCGGAAGAGGUGAGUGGAAUUCCCGGUGUAGCGGUGAAAUGCGCAGAUAUCGGGAGGAACACCAAUGGCGAAGGCAGCUCACUGGGACGGUACUGACGCUGAGACGCGAAAGCGUGGGGAGCAAACAGG
rnacentral:rRNA from 1 species